GGCGUGACGACGAGGCACUACGGUGCUGAAGCAACAAAUGCCCUGCUUCCAGGAAAAGCCUCUAAGCCUCAGGUAACAUCAGAUCGUACCCGAAACCGACACAGGUGGUCAGGUAGAGAAUACCAAGGCGCUUGAGAGAACCCGGGUGAAGGAACUAGGCAAAAUGGUGCCGUAACUUCGGGAGAAGGCACGCUGACACGUAGGUGAAGCGGUUUACCCGUGGAGCUGAAGUCAGUCGAAGAUACCAGCUGGCUGCAACUGUUUAUUAAAAACACAGCACUGUGCAAACACGAAAGUGGACGUAUACGGUGUGACGCCUGCCCGGUGCCGGAAGGUUAAUUGAUGGGGUCAGCGCAAGCGAAGCUCCUGAUCGAAGCCCCGGUAAACGGCGGCCGUAACUAUAACGGUCCUAAGGUAGCGAAAUUCCUUGUCGGGUAAGUUCCGACCUGCACGAAUGGCGUAAUGAUGGCCAGGCUGUCUCCACCCGGGACUCAGUGAAAUUGAACUCGCUGUGAAGAUGCAGUGUACCCGCGGCAAGACGGAAAGACCCCGUGAACCUUUACUAUAGCUUGACACUGAACACUGGUCCUUGAUGUGCAGGAUAGGUGGGAGGCUUUGAAGUGUGGACGCCAGUCUGCAUGGAGCCGUCCUUGAAAUACCACCCUUUAAUGGCUGGUGUUCUAACGUAGACCCGUGAACCGGGUUGCGGACAGUGUCUGGUGGGUAGUUUGACUGGGGCGGUCUCCUCCUAAAGCGUAACGGAGGAGCACGAAGGUUGGCUAAUCCUGGUCGGACAUCAGGAGGUUAGUGCAAUGGCAUAAGCCAGCUUGACUGCGAGCGUGACGGCGCGAGCAGGUGCGAAAGCAGGUCAUAGUGAUCCGGUGGUUCUGAAUGGAAGGGCCAUCGCUCAACGGAUAAAAGGUACUCCGGGGAUAACAGGCUGAUACCGCCCAAGAGUUCAUAUCGACGGCGGUGUUUGGCACCUCGAUGUCGGCUCAUCACAUCCUGGGGCUGAAGUAGGUCCCAAGGGUAUGGCUGUUCGCCAUUUAAAGUGGUACGCGAGCUGGGUUUAGAACGUCGUGAGACAGUUCGGUCCCUAUCUGCCGUGGGCGCUGGAGAACUGAGGGGGGCUGCUCCUAGUACGAGAGGACCGGAGUGGACGCAUCACUGGUGUUCGGGUUGUCAUGCCAAUGGCACUGCCCGGUAGCUAAAUGCGGAAGAGAUAAGUGCUGAAAGC
rnacentral:rRNA from 1 species